GCUCAGUCCCCCCGCGCCAUGCGGCUGCAGCGCUGUUCAGGGACGCUUGUGGAUGCGCGCGCUGAGGCGCUGGGAGGCGGGGAUAUGCUUUCCCAGUGUAUGAGGUUGUUCCAAGCUCUUUAGGAGUUAGACCAGAAGACAGGAGGAAGAUCAUCCUCACUGGCCAGAUAGAAUUCAAUCUCCUGAUAUAUGGGCCAACUGCCAGAAAAGUGAAGAGUGGAACCAGCUGACAAUCGCUUCAUGCCUGAAGAGAAGAAAGUUUCAGCAUGAAAGCAAAGGAAGCAAAGCAUUAAAGGAGCUGGAAAAUAAGGGUUUGCAUAUCCUUUGGAUCUAGCUGGGACAAUGAAAAGGGGAAGAGAAAGUAACAGGUCUGUGGACUGUAGCCACUUUCUCCAACCCUGCAGAAGCCCCAUCCACAAGGAUCUGUUACUUGGGAGGAGGCCAGUCAACAUGCCAACUUGCACAGAAUUCUAAGUGCAGUCCUUCCAGUGCUGUAAAGAAAGGGAUGAUCUACUCUUUGGGCCACAGUAUGUACAGAAGGCAGUGUGUGCCAGCGGAAGGACAUUGAACUGGGAGUCAGAAGACCUUGACUUCAAAAUCUGGACCGAAACUUAGAUUGUGAAUUUUGUUUCUUAGGCCUCUCUCUAAUUAGUAUUGAGGAUUUUCCAGGCUCCUAGCCAAAUGAAUAUUUUAUAAAGAUCAUAUAUAUCCAUCCAAAGGGUCCACACAGUAACAAUCAUUUGGAGGUAUUAUGUGAUACAGCCCAAUCAAUAUUCCAACAACAUACUGAUGAUAACAAAAGAUGUAGAAUUAGAAAACUAAAUACAAGAGUAUAAAGUUCAAAGUUUGUUCUCUAGGUUAUAUCAUGGUAUAACUCCUAAAUGUUACAAAUAUACCUUAUUUCCUCCCACACCCUAAAAGUAUGUUUACAAAAAUCAGAAUUUGUUUCCUGUGUGUAUUGUUUUCCUAAUUAAAUUUGAAGGAGUAAAGAUUUCUUCCAUAUGGGCUACGUUUUUCCUUAAAUAGAGCAUCUGUUUUGGGUUGGGUACUUUAUGACAGAGGUUCUCAACCUUUCCAGACUACUAUACCCCUUUCAGGGGUCUGAUUUGUCUUGUGUAUUCCCAAGUUUCACCUCACUUAAAAACUACUUGCUUACAAAAUCAGACAUAAAAAUACAAAAGUGUCACAGCAUGCUAUUACUGAAAUAUUGCUCACUGUCUCAUUAAUUAUAAAACCAGUCAAUUGGAAUAUAAAUAUUGCACUUACAUUUCAGUGUAUAGUAUAUUGAGCAGUAUAAACAAGUCAUUGUCUGAAUGAAAUUUUAGUUUGCCCUAACUUUGCUAAUGCUUUUUAUGUAGCCUGUUGUAAAAUUAGGCAAAUAUCUAGAUGAGCUGAUGUAUCCCUUGGAAGACCUCUGCAUAUCCCCAGGUUGAGCACCACUGCCUUUUGGAACCUUCAUGUUAUUCAGCGGCUACUUGUGUACCAAUUUAAUGUUGCUUUCAUUACCCUCAUCUCCUCUCUCACUCUUCCAGCCUUUUGUUUCUCCCUUGUAUCAUGUCUCAAAUUAUAUUGUCAGCUUUUGUGGGAGGGCUGACUCUUACUGUGUCUUUGUACAGGGCAGGCCCAAUGGGAUCCUGAUCCUGACUGGAGG